rnacentral:rRNA from 1 species
UACAGCGGUCCCCCGCUUUUUUCUUCUUCCCUUUUCUUCAAUUUUUCUUAUUUGGCAGGGUAAGUUUGAUGUGAAAUCUCCGAGCUUAACUCGGAAACUGCAUUGAAUACUAUCCUGCUUGAGGGUUGGAGGGGAGACUGGAAUUCUCGGUGUAGCAGUGAAAUGCGUAGAUAUCGAGAGGAACACCAGUGGCGAAGGCGAGUCUCUAGACAACUCCUGACACUGAGGCACGAAAGCUAGGGGAGCAAACAGG